rnacentral:rRNA from 1 species
AUACGUAGGGUGCAAGCGUUAAUCGGAAUUACUGGGCGUAAAGCGUGCGCAGGCGGUUUUGUAAGACAGUGGUGAAAUCCCCGGGCUCAACCUGGGAACUGCCAUUGUGACUGCAAGGCUAGAGUACGGCAGAGGGGGAUGGAAUUCCGCGUGUAGCAGUGAAAUGCGUAGAUAUGCGGAGGAACACCGAUGGCGAAGGCAAUCCCCUGGGCCUGUACUGACGCUCACGCACGAAAGCGUGGGGAGCAAACAGGAUUAGAUACCCUGGUAGUCCACGCCCUAAACGAUGUCAACUGGUUGUUGGGUCUUCAUUGACUCAGUAACGAAGCUAACGCGUGAAGUUGACCGCCUGGGGAGUACGGCCGCAAGGUUGAAACUCAAAUGAAUUGACGGGG